CUCGUUCGAUAUAAUAUGUCGCAACGACUCUCGGCAACGGAUAUCUAGGCUCUCGCAUCGAUGAAGAACGUAGCGAAAUGCGAUACUUGGUGUGAAUUGCAGAAUCCCGUGAACCAUCGAGUCUUUGAACGCAAGUUGCGCCCGAAGCCGUCAGGCCGA
rnacentral:rRNA from 1 species